CAAAUCAGGUAGGACUACCCGCUGAACUUAAGCAUAUCAAUAAGCGGAGGAAAAGAAACUAACAAGGAUUCCCCUAGUAACUGCGAGUGAAGAGGGAAAAGCUCAAAUUUAAAAUCUGGUACCCUUAGGGUGCUCGAGUUGUAAUUUGGAGAGGCGUUUUCUGUGCUGGACUGUGUAAAAGUUUCUUGGAAUAGAACAUCAUAGAGGGUGAGAAUCCCGUCUUUGACACAGACUACCAGUGCUAUGUGAUACGCUUUCAAAGAGUCGCGUUGUUUGGGAAUGCAGCGCUAAAUGGGUGGUAAAUUCCAUCUAAAGCUAAAUAUUGGCGAGAGACCGAUAGCGAACAAGUACCGUGAGGGAAAGAUGAAAAGCACUUUGGAAAGAGAGUUAAACAGUACGUGAAAUUGUUGAAAGGGAAACGCUUGAAGUCAGUCGCAUUGCUUUGGAUUCAGCCUUGCUCUUUUGCUUGGUGUAUUUCCUUUGUAAUGGGUCAGCAUCAAUUUUGUUCAGUGGAAAAAGGAUGGGGGAAGGUGGCACCUCCGGGUGUGUUAUAGCCCCUGUUUGUAUACAUUGAAUGGGAUUGAGGUCUGCAGCACGCCUUUAUGGUCGGGGUUCGCCCACGUAAGUGCUUAGGAUGCUGGCAUAAUGGCUUUAAGCGACCCGUCUUGAAACACGGACC
rnacentral:rRNA from 1 species